rnacentral:rRNA from 1 species
GCUGUCGCUAAAAAGGGGAUGGACCUGCGAUGCAUUAGCUAGUUGGUAAGGUAACGGGCUUACCAAGGCGAUGAUGCAUAGCCCGAGUUGAGAGACUGAUCGGCCACAUUGGGGACUGAGACACGGGCCCAAACUCCUACGGGAGGCAGCAGUAGGGAAUCUUCCACAAUGGACGAAAGUCUGAUGGAGCAAACGCCGCGUGAGUGAAGAAGGUUUUCGGAUCGUAAAAGCUCUGUUGUUGGUGAAAGAAGGAUAGAGGUAGUAACUGGCCCUUUAUUUGACGGUAAUCAACCAGAAAGUCACGGGCUAACUACGUGCCAGCAGCCGCGGUAAAU